UGGGGAAUAUUGGACAAUGGGCGAAAGCCUGAUCCAGCCAUGCCGCGUGUGUGAAGAAGGUCUUCGGAUUGUAAAGCACUUUAAGUUGGGAGGAAGGGCAGUAAGCGAAUACCUUGCUGUUGUGACGUUACCGACAGAAUAAGCACCGGCUAACUCUGUGCCAGCAGCCGCGGUAAUACAGAGGGUGCAAGCGUUAAUCGGAAUUACUGGGCGUAAAGCGCGCGUAGGUGGUUCGUUAAGUUGAAUGUGAAAGCCCCGGGCUCAACCUGGGAACUGCAUCCAAAACUGGCGAGCUAGAGUAGGGCAGAGGGUGGUGGAAUUUCCUGUGUAGCGGUGAAAUGCGUAGAUAUAGGAAGGAACACCAGUGGCGAAGGCGACCACCUGGGCUCAUACUGUCACUGAGGUGCGAAAGCGUGGGGAGCAAACAGG
rnacentral:rRNA from 1 species